rnacentral:rRNA from 1 species
CAAGUCGAGCGAACAGAGAAGGAGCUUGCUCCUUUGACGUUAGCGGCGGACGGGUGAGUAACACGUGGGCAACCUACCUUAUAGUUUGGGAUAACUCCGGGAAACCGGGGCUAAUACCGAAUAAUCUGUUUCACCUCAUGGUGAAAUAUUGAAAGACGGUUUCGGCUGUCGCUAUAGGAUGGGCCCGCGGCGCAUUAGCUAGUUGGUGAGGUAACGGCUCACCAAGGCGACGAUGCGUAGCCGACCUGAGAGGGUGAUCGGCCACACUGGGACUGAGACACGGCCCAGACUCCUACGGGAGGCAGCAGUAGGGAAUCUUCCACAAUGGGCGAAAGCCUGAUGGAGCAACGCCGCGUGAGUGAAGAAGGAUUUCGGUUCGUAAAACUCUGUUGUAAGGGAAGAACAAGUACAGUAGUAACUGGCUGUACCUUGACGGUACCUUAUUAGAAAGCCACGGCUAACUACGUGCCAG